UAGCUAGUUGGUGAGGUAAAGGCUUACCAAGGCGACGAUCUGUAGCGGGUCUGAGAGGAUGAUCCGCCACACUGGAACUGAGACACGGCCCAGACUCCUACGGGAGGCAGCAGUGGGGAAUUUUGGACAAUGGGGGCAACCCUGAUCCAGCCAUGCCGCGUGAGUGAAGAAGGCCUUCGGGUUGUAAAGCUCUUUCGGCCGGGAAGAAAUCGCAUGGGCCAAUACCCUGUGUGGAUGACGGUACCGGAAUAAGAAGCACCGGCUAACUACGUGCCAGCAGCCGCGGUAAUACGUAGGGUGCGAGCGUUAAUCGGAAUUACUGGGCGUAAAGCGUGCGCAGGCGGUUUUGUAAGACAGGCGUGAAAUCCCCGGGCUUAACCUGGGAACUGCGUUUGUGACUGCAAGGCUAGAGUACGGCAGAGGGGGGUGGAAUUCCACGUGUAGCAGUGAAAUGCGUAGAGAUGUGGAGGAACACCAAUGGCGAAGGCAGCCCCCUGGGUCGAUACUGACGCUCAUGCACGAAAGCGUGGGUAGCAAACAGGAUUAGAUACCCUGGUAGUCCACGCCCUAAACUAUGUCAACUAGGUGUUGGGUGGGUAAAACCAUUUAGUACCGUAGCUAACGCGUGAAGUUGACCGCCUGGGGAGUACGGCCGCAGGGUUAAAACUCAAAGGAAUUGACGGGGACCCGCACAAGCGGUGGAUGAUGUGGAUUAAUUCGAUGCAACGCGAAAAACCUUACCUACCCUUGACAUGCCAGGAACUUGCCAGAGAUGGCUUGGUGCCCGAAAGGGAGCCUGGACACAGGUGCUGCAUGGCUGUCGUCAGCUCGUGUCGUGAGAUGUUGGGUUAAGUCCAGCAACGAGCGCAACCCUUGUCGUUAAUUGCCAUCAUUUAGUUGGGCACUUUAACGAGACUGCCGGUGACAAACCGGAGGAAGGUGGGGAUGACGUCAAGUCCUCAUGGCCCUUAUGGGUAGGGCUUCACACGUCAUACAAUGGUCGGUACAAAGGGUUGCCAAGCCGCGAGGCGGAGCCAAUCCCAGAAAGCCGAUCGUAGUCCGGAUUGCAGGCUGCAACUUGCCUGCAUGAAGUCGGAAUCGCUAGUAAUCGUGGAUCAGCAUGUCACGGUGAGUACGUUCCCGGGUCUUGUACACACCGCCCGUCACACCAUGGGAGCGGGUUCCGCCAGAAGUAGGUAGCCUAACCGCAAGGGGGGCGCUUACCACGGCGGGGUUCGUGACUGGGGUGAAGUCGGAACAAGGUAGCCGUAGGGGAACCUGCGGCUG
rnacentral:rRNA from 1 species